CGCAUUGACCCAGGACCUUGGACUGAGAAGAUGGGCAGACAUUUAGAAGACUUUCCUCAGCAGACCUCUGGAAACUGUUGUGGCAUCCUCAUGCUAAUGUACGCCCUUUGCCUCUGCACACGUACUAGAUUUACGUUUACUGAGAGUGACAUACCGUUGAUCCGCCAUUGGUGGUGCAUCCUACUGAUGGAGAGGUUUCAGAUAG